rnacentral:rRNA from 1 species
AUUGAACGCUGGCGGCAUGCCUUACACAAGCAAGUCGAACGGCAGCACGGGUGCUUGCACCUGGUGGCGAGUGGCGAACGGGUGAGUAAUACAUCGGAACGUACCUUAUCGUGGGGGAUAACGCAGCGAAAGCUGUGCUAAUACCGCAUACGCCCUGAGGGGGAAAGCGGGGGAUCGAAAGACCUCGCGCGAUUAGAGCGGCCGAUGCCUGAUUAGCUUGUUGGUGGGGUGAAAGCCCACCAAGGCGACGAUCAGUAGCUGGUCUGAGAUGACGAUCAGCACACUGGGACUGGGACACGGCCCAGACUCCUACGGGAGGCAGCAGUGGGGAAUUUUGGACAAUGGGGGCAACCCUGCUCCAGCAAUGCCGCGUGAGUGAAGAAUGCCGUCGGGUUGUAAAGCUCUUUUGUCAGGGAAGAAACACCGGCUCUAACACAGUCCGGGAAUGACGGUACCUGAAGAAUAAGCACCGGCUAACUACGUGCCAGCAGCCGCAGUAA